GAUCCUGUGCGACAUUUGCUACCGCACCUAGGAGCUUACACCGAUGCGCAAGGACAGCCGGCAUGCGUUUGAUGGCCUGUUCCAGACCUUGGGCACCACCAUUAAGCGCUUCAACUAGGCUAUACACUUUCCGGACCUCGUACUUCCUUCCUUCUCAGAUGCAGCAGAAGGUCGAAGCCAUGAAGAAGCUCAACGAGGUGCUCGAGGCGCUUGCCCUUAAUUGAGCACCAAUUAAGCGAAUUUUCCCAUUUGGAGCUCGACAAAGACGAGUUGGACGAAGAGCUGCUUGCAGUUGCGCAGCUACGUGGUGGCAAGACAGUGCGGCACCUUGAUGCGCCCCUUGAUGCGAAUCGAACAUGUUUUGGCUAGACUAGAUGCUCCAGUAGCGUCAGUACUAUAUAUUGACAGUAAAGCUUUGUUUUUACGAUAUAAUUGUAAUAGAGAGAGAGCCAAUGACUUACGCCGAGAGUAAGAUCACGCACGUUUUCCUUGCUUCAUUUGCUGUUCCUUUGCUUUCCCUAUUGGUGAUGACGCGGCGUUAGCCGAACGCCAGAGCUGAAGCCCCUGCGAUCUAAUCCAGGAAGUUCCUUUGCGAAAAGGAAAUAAAGGAACGGCUUGCGGAGACUUGGGAAAUUCUGCUUUGACGAAGUGCCUAAUAAUUAUCUAUGCGCGAUUGUGAGGACCAUGUCGUACGAAUUCGAAUCUGAGGCUUAUCCCGCAGAGCUAGAAGAGUUAAUGGAAAUACUGUAAAGAACAUAUUAAAUAUCACUUUCAU